rnacentral:lncRNA from 10 species
AGCUAAGCAUCCAACUUAAGAAGUUAGAAAAAGACCAAAAAAAUGAAACAAAGCAGAAAGAAAUAAUAGAAAGAGGUGAUAUAAAAGAAAGAUAUCUAUAUGUAUGUAUAUAUAACAGAGAGGAUUAAACUAGACAAAAGAAGAUUUUUUGAACAAAGUGACUCAUCCUUGACAAAAUUAUCAGUUAAAAAAUUGAAGGCACAAAUACAUAAGAAUGGAUGAAAAAAGGAGCAUGUUAGAGAUGAAAAAGAUUUUUUUUAAGUUAGAUUAAAUUACAAACAACGUUAUGCCAAUACGGUCAAAACGAGGAAAAAGUAAAUAAAUUCCUAGAAAAAUAUAGAUCACUGAAGCUGACUCAGGAAAAAAAAACUAAGUCAUCAUGUAACUGUUAAAGAUAUUAAAUUAGUCAUAAAAAAAUUUCUGCAAAAAGAAUUAACCAUUUCAUGUGGGUUUUGUAAUUCUACCAAAUGUUUAAUAAAUCAAGAAUUCCACCCUUACACAAACUGUUUCAGAGGACAGAAAAGAAGAAAUUCUCCCCAAAUCAAUUUAUGAUAAUAAUAUAUUCUUGAUACAAAGCUAGACUAAUAAGAAAAAACAUUGAUAUUGGUGAUAACAAAUUAAAAUGGAAACAGUGUAGCAAAAAGCUAUGGGAUACAGCAAAAGCAGUACUAAGAGGAAAGUUUAUGAGUAAUAAACACCCACAUCAAAAAUAGAAAAACUUUAAAUGACUUAAUAGUGCACCUUAAAGAACAAGCAAGAACAAUUUAAACUCAAAAUUAGAAGAAAAGAGAAAAUAAAAAUUAGAGCAGAAAUAAAUAAAACUUACACUAAAAAACCCACAAAAGAUCAACAGAAAGAAAACUUAGUUUUUUU